rnacentral:sRNA from 1 species
AAACAGCGAAAAGAACGCCAGCAUUAACACUCACCAGACUCAACAGCCCAUUCACAACCCAUAAUCCACCUAAGGUCAGCCAUGCUACCCUCUGCUUCGCCGGAUGUUUCCUCACGAGACCUAAAUUCAACUCUCUCUUCUUAAAUCUCGGGAUUUCGAUCAUCUCAACAUCUUCCUCCGGCAGUCCCAUCUUCGGCAAUUGACCAGACAUGCCUUUUCCAGGCCGGCUUUGGGGGGGCGCAAACUCUGCAUUAGGAGAAAGAAAUUUUUGAGGUGAUUGGCCUGGGGUAGGAGAAGAGAUGCGAGUCGAAGAAAGCGCAAAGGCUGGUUGGCGACUGGCGGUAUGAGGGUGUACGCGGUGGAGGUGGGGCGGGACGGACGAAGGUAGGUGGGUUGGGAGUGCUGAAUGGAGGAGAUGUUUGAACCUGCUUAAUUGGGAAGGGGGCCUUUGAAGGCAGGAUGAGCGGACUGGAGCUUUCGGCUUCUGUGUUUCUGGUAAAGGGUAGAGCCGUUCGAACCUUGUUCAGAGACUGACUUGACGCUAUCUUGUCUAUUGAGAUCAUCAGAUUCUUGGCUCGCGCGAAACAAAUCCACUAACGCAUAACACCUCCAGGCCCGAUGAAUCCUCUCCUCAUCAUCUGCGCUCUGCCUUCGCCUGGUCUUUCACCAGUCUCUCUCCCCUUAUCCUUUUCUCUCAUGCUAGAUGUAGGAAGAUUCCCACUCCUCUUUUUUGACGGUGAAACGCUCUUUUCGAUAUCCGCGACGGCAGCGAAAGAGUGAAUAUUGCCUAGACUCAAAUUUAUUGGAGAGUGCGGAGGUGAUGGCAGCAGGGAAGAGGGGGGAGGAACAGACGACUUGAUGAUACGCACUUCGGGAGUGGUUGAGGACGUCUCCGCCUGAGGAUGUGAAGCGCUUGGCUCAUGUUGAUCUGGCUGGGUGGAAGGAAAAGCGACGGGAACUAUAGGUGACGGAAGAGAUGGGCUUGAGCGCUGUUUUGGAGCAUUCAUCUCGGCCGCUGAUACUGUUUCGCCCUCAACUUUCUCCUUUGGUCCUGGGACUGACGUCGAAGUAAGCUGGGGUUUGUUCACCACAGGCGAUGUUGGCGCUGUUACUGCCCCUCUCAUUCUGUCUCUUGGAUUCACAAUGCCUCCAUCCGACAUAUUAAUCGUCUUUCCGAAUGCCCCAUCACUCAAUGUCCUCGCACGGACAUCAACCUCCGAGCUCGCUGAUGCUCCUGGAGUGGACAAUAUCCGCCUACGACCAGACCCUGCUGUUCUACGUACCCGGCCAAUGUACUUGAUGGUCGCGGAGGAUGAUGUGGGAGACUUUCUAAGAGAACCAGCUCUCAUCUCAUCCGUGAGCUCCUGAACGAUACGCUGAGUCGAACGUUCUGCCAACGACAUACUGGAUUGUCCUCGGGUGGUAUCUCCCCCGGAAAUGUAUUAAAGUCCACUUGGGACACGAAUCUGGUAGCGUUAAAGACGAUGAUUUUCUUGAUUGAUUACUGGUCCUACCUUCUUCUGAUGCUUCGCUUCGGAAAGAUUGCCCAAAAGUCCUGAGUAGUCCUUUGAAAACCCUGUUCCAUGAACAUGCAAGCC